rnacentral:siRNA from 1 species
UCCAUUAGCGCUAGCUCGGU